rnacentral:rRNA from 1 species
UGUCGUCAGCUCGUGUUGUGAAAUGUUGGGUUAAGUCCCGCAACGAGCGCAACCCUUAUCCUUUGUUGCCAGCGGUCCGGCCGGGAACUCAAAGGAGACUGCCAGUGAUAAACUGGAGGAAGGUGGGGAUGACGUCAAGUCAUCAUGGCCCUUACGACCAGGGCUACACACGUGCUACAAUGGCGCAUACAAAGAGAAGCGACCUCGCGAGAGCAAGCGGACCUCAUAAAGUGCGUCGUAGUCCGGAUUGGAGUCUGCAACUCGACUCCAUGAAGUCGGAAUCGCUAGUAAUCGUGGAUCAGA